rnacentral:rRNA from 1 species
AAUGAACGCUGGCGGCAGGCCUAACACAUGCAAGUCGAGCGGAUGAAGGGAGCUUGCUCCUGGAUUCAGCGGCGGACGGGUGAGUAAUGCCUAGGAAUCUGCCUGGUAGUGGGGGAUAACGUCCGGAAACGGGCGCUAAUACCGCAUACGUCCUGAGGGUGAAAGUGGGGGAUCUUCGGACCUCACGCUAUCAGAUGAGCCUAGGUCGGAUUAGCUAGUUGGUGGGGUAAAGGCCUACCAAGGCGACGAUCCGUAACUGGUCUGAGAGGAUGAUCAGUCACACUGGAACUGAGACACGGUCCAGACUCCUACGGGAGGCAGCAGUGGGGAAUAUUGGACAAUGGGCGAAAGCCUGAUCCAGCCAUGCCGCGUGUGUGAAGAAGGUCUUCGGAUUGUAAAGCACUUUUAGUUGGGAGGAAGGGCAGUAAGUUAAUACCUUGCUGUUUUGACGGUACCAACAGAAUAAGCACCGGCUAACUUCGUG